AUUGAACGCUGGCGGCAGGCCUAACACAUGCAAGUCGAGCGGAUGAAGGGAGCUUGCUCCUGGAUUCAGCGGCGGACGGGUGAGUAAUGCCUAGGAAUCUGCCUGGUAGUGGGGGAUAACGUCCGGAAACGGGCGCUAAUACCGCAUACGUCCUGAGGGUGAAAGUGGGGGAUCUUCGGACCUCACGCUAUCAGAUGAGCCUAGGUCGGAUUAGCUAGUUGGUGGGGUAAAGGCCUACCAAGGCGACGAUCCGUAACUGGUCUGAGAGGAUGAUCAGUCACACUGGAACUGAGACACGGUCCAGACUCCUACGGGAGGCAGCAGUGGGGAAUAUUGGGCAAUGGGCGAAAGCCUGAUCCAGCCAUGCCGCGUGUGUGAAGAAGGUCUUCGGAUUGUAAAGCACUUUAAGUUGGGAGGAAGGGCAGUAAGUUAAUACCUUGCUGUUUUGACGUUACCAACAGAAUAAGCACCGGCUAACUUCGUG
rnacentral:rRNA from 1 species